GCUUGAUAGAUAAAAAACAAAGCUUUCUUGUCCUUCUUUCGAUUGCUUUCAACUCACCGAGUUGUUGAUUUGAGAGUGUUGCAACAUUUUCCGGUUCUACAAAACCGGUCUCCACAAUAUCCCAUAAAUCUUGAGAUCCAUAUAGAACCUUCAUCUUAAUGCUCCAUUGAUAAUAAUUCUUCCCGUUGAACAAAGAAAGUUGUGGCUGCAACAUGUUGUUGUUAGAAGCCAUUUCUCCCUUGUAAGAACCUUGUGUAGAUCGAGCUAUGGCUCUGAUACCACUUUAUAGAAGAAAAAACAGCACAAAAACUGAUCAAGAAAGGUGUAUUCUUGACGAAGAACAAUGGAGAAAUGAGGCUAGGAUGUUACUACUUGAAAAUGGACUCAAAUUUCAUUGAUUCAAGUGUAUUUUCUGAAGUUACAAAGCUGGAAAAUUUAUAGGCAAAUUUCCAUACGAAUUUACACUUAUUAAUGACACAACUUUCUAAGAGACAAGAACCAAGUUCCUAGAAUAUAUUCAAAGUAAUAA
rnacentral:lncRNA from 1 species